UACGUAGGUGGCAAGCGUUAUUCGGAAUUAUUGGGCGUAAAGCGCGCGCAGGCGGUCUCUUAAGUCUGAUGUGAAAGCCCACGGCUCAACCGUGGAGGGUCAUUGGAAACUGGGAGACUUGAGUGCAGAAGAGAAGAGCGGAAUUCCACGUGUAGCGGUGAAAUGCGUAGAGAUGUGGAGGAACACCAGUGGCGAAGGCGGCUCUUUGGUCUGUAACUGACGCUGAGGCGCGAAAGCGUGGGGAGCAAACAGG
rnacentral:rRNA from 1 species